GUGCUUAACACAUGCAAGUCGCGUGCGCAGUUGCCGUAGCAAUACGGUGAUGGGCGCACGGCGCACGGGUGCGUAACACGUGGGCAAUCUGCCCUCCGAUGGGGAAUAACCCCGCGAAAGCGGGGCUAAUUCCGCAUAACAUUCCUUGGACUUAGGUCUGAGGAUUCAAAGCAGCAAUGCGUCGGAGGAGGAGCCCGCGCCCGAUUAGCUAGUUGGUGAGGUAACGGCUCACCAAGGCAAUGAUCGGUAGCUGGUCUGAGAGGAUGAUCAGCCACACUGGAACUGAGACACGGUCCAG
rnacentral:rRNA from 1 species